rnacentral:rRNA from 1 species
UACGGGGGGUGCGAGCGUUGUCCGGAAUCACUGGGCGUAAAGGGCGCGUAGGUGGUUUGAUAAGGGUGUGGUGAAAGCCCGGGGCUCAACCCCGGGUCGGCCGUGGCAACUGUCGAGCUGGAGCACUGUAGAGGCAGGUGGAAUUCCGGGUGUAGCGGUGGAAUGCGUAGAGAUCCGGAAGAACACCGGUGGCGAAGGCGGCCUGCUGGGCAGUGGCUGACGCUGAGGCGCGACAGCGUGGGGAGCAAACAGG